CGACUUCUGUAGCCUUAGUAGUUCUGGUCAUUUUGGUCUCUUGAAUAUCGUCAUUUAUCUUUUUACUUAAGAUGACGGGUUCCUUCUUCAUGGCGGAGAAGUUGAAUUUGGAACAUAAAACCGGUGGUACAAAGUGUAAUCUAGCCUUUACUCUAUAUGGCAGAUUCUCAUUGAAAGGAAUCUGGGGAACAACAUCAAUUGGAGUGAAGGUGUUUGCUACUAUUGUGUUGCCCGAGGCCGUGAUAUUUACUUGAUUUGUAACAUGAUCAUUUAAUUCUGUAUUUUGGAUGAGUGAGGGUGUCCGCUAGGAUUUGGAAUUGGAUUUUGUAUUUAUUUGUGGGUAACUUUCGUGAAAAAUGGUAAGAUCGUUUAAUUUUUCAAUAAUAGUUCUUCAUUUGGAAAGUGUUCGUCUGCUUCUUUUUACUGACUUCAUUAUGUGGUUAUAUUUUUACCUAAUUCGUGUACCAUUAAAUGAGUGGUAAUGGUGCUAGGAAGUGACCGCAAAGGAUUCCAAUUUAUUUUAUCAAGGUGUUAAUUGAAGAUGAGAGGAAAUACUUUUUAUUUAUGUAUUCGAGGACCUUGCGUAAUUUCGGACCUUUAUCUUUCAUUAAUUUGAAAUAAAUUAUGAUAUUUUA
rnacentral:lncRNA from 1 species